rnacentral:rRNA from 1 species
AACGAACGCUGGCGGCAUGCCUAACACAUGCAAGUCGAACGGAAACGCCCUGCUUUUUUGGGCUGCUCGAGGGGCGAAGGGGUGCGUAACACGUGAGUAACCUACCCUUCACUUUGGGGUAACUUCAGGAAACUGGGGCUAAUCCCGGAUAGGAUCUCCCGCUGCGUGGUGGGGGUUGGAACGUUUCGGCGGUUGGGGAUGGAAUCGCGGGUUAUCGGCUUGUUGGUUGGGUAGUGGCUUACCAACGCUUUGACGGGUAGCCGGCCUGGGAGGGUGGCCGGCGACAUGGGGACUGAGAUACGGCCCAGACGCCUACGGGAGGCAGCGGUGGGGAAUAUUGUACAGUGGGAGGGAGCCUGAUGCAACAACGCCGCGUGCGGGAAGACGGCCUUCGGGUUGUGAACCGCAGUCGCCUGAGACGAAGCGGUAGUGACGGUAAUGGGUGAAGAAGCACCGGCUAACUACGUG